rnacentral:sRNA from 1 species
GGUGUCUCUGACCGAUCCUUUUGCUCUUGCUUGUGGGCGAGUGAGGCUUCCCUGUCAGUUUCUUACAGAUGCAAGAAAUAAACAAGACUUGAUAAGACAUUUCUGAGUAAAAUAUUGGGGAAACUGUUUUCUUUUUAUGAUAAGUAAGAUUGAGUUGAAUAUUUAUAGUGUCAUAACUAUAUUUUACAUUCUGUACAUGCAUAUGCCAGGUCUUAUUUCAGACCUUAAUAGGAUAGACUAGAAGAAUUUUUAUUGCAAGUGAAUUUUAAGCAGGAGACAAUGAACAAGUAUUUUGAAAGGGCUUUGCUGGCAGUAAGUUGCAGAUCUUGAUACCCAAGUAAGAGAAAGGUGGUGUCUCUGACCGAUCCUUUUGCUCUUGCUUGUGGGCGAGUGAGGCUUCCCUGUCAGUUUCUUACAGAUGCAAGAAAUAAACAAGACUUGAUAAGACAUUUCUGAGUAAAAUAUUGGGGAAACUGUUUAUGAUAAGUAAGAUUGAGUUGAAUUUUUAUUGUGUCAAAACUUUUUUAAAUUUUGUACAUGCAUAUGCUUGAUCUUAUUCCAGACCUUAUAAGGAUAGACUAGAAGUAUUUUAUUGAAUUUCCAUGACUUAAAUUUACCAUUUCGCCAAAUUUUGAUAAUCAAAUACGGUAUUGUUUGCAUUGGAAGUUUGUGUAAAUUAAAAUUACUUUAUAUAUGUUCCAAAAUGUUAACUGAAUAGUCUGGUCAUUAGAAUAUGUAUUUUUUUUUUCUGUAUAAUAAAUUUUCAAUAUUAUAAUGUAAAACCUAAGGAAUUUUUUUUAGAUCACAUGAAGUGUUUAAAAUUAGAGAUUAGAGAUGCACAUUUACAUCCUAUUAUUGAACAAUUUGUUCAUUCAAUUUAGUAUCAUUUGGUAUUUGUAUGCAUCAUAUAUAUAAAUAUAUAGGGGUUUUCAACGCUAUUCAUAUAAUAUGAUUGUUAAUAUAUAUCUUCUCUGAAGUGGUUUUCAUGGAAACUCUUAUCUAUUUGCAGUUAUGAACUAUAGAGUAUGUAUGUUUCUAUGAAAACAUGCUAUUUUCAAAAUACAUGUACUAGGAAAGAGAAUUUGUGUGUUAAUAAAGUAAAUAAGCAAAAAAAAUGAUUACUUCAGUAUUGUCAACUUUUCUUUAUCCACAUGCAUUAUAUAGAAAAACUGACUUUGUCUUGUAAUUUAUGUUGUAUAUGAAAAUACGCAAGUUAAAAUAGAAUUUAUUUGCAGACCAUGCAGCAAUUUUUAUGGCUCUGUUUCAGUUGUGUUUUUAUUUCCUACUAGUCCAUAUAGAUUCCAUUAUUUCCAUUUAAUGUGUAUUAGCCUGCAUUUGCUUAAGUCAAAUGUGCAUUUCACAAUUCCAAAUUUGGACAUUUUACCUAAGUAUUUUUUAAGAACUAUAUCAGAAAUUUUAAUGGCAUCCAUUCCAUAUGUAUCUGAUCAUGACGUAUAUAUUGUAAUUUUCUAAAUUGUGACUUUUAUGCUUAAAACUUUGAAAUGUUUUGCUCAGUAAGAAUACAUGUAUUUUUUUUUUUUUACAUCUUUGAGACUUUAACAUGCAAUAAAAUCGAAUCUUAAGUGG